rnacentral:misc_RNA from 1 species
GAUGAAGAACGUAGCGAAAUGCGAUAAGUAAUGUGAAUUGCAGAAUUCAGUGAAUCAUCGAAUCUUUGAAUGCACAUUGCGCCCCCUGGUAUUCCGGGGGGCAUGCCUGUUCGAGCGUCAUUUCAACCCUCAAGCUCUGCUUGGUAUUGAGUCCAUGUCAGCAAUGGCAGGCUCCAAAAUCAGUGGCGGCGCCGCUGGGUCCUGAACGUAGUAAUAUCUCUCGUUACAGGUGCUCGGCGUGCUUCUGCCAAAACCCCAAUUUUUCUAUGGUUGACCUCGGAUCAGGUAGGGAUACCCGCUGAACUUAAGCAUAUCAAUAAGCGGAGGA